rnacentral:rRNA from 1 species
ACAGGCUUAACACAUGCAAGUCGAGGGGUAGCAGGGUAGCAAUACCGCUGACGACCGGCGCACGGGUGAGUAACACGUAUCCAACCUUCCCAUAACUCAGGGAUAGCCUUUCGAAAGAAAGAUUAAUACCUGAUGGUACCUUUUCUGGACAUCCAGUUAAGGUUAAAGAUUUAUCGGUUAUGGAUGGGGAUGCGUUCCAUUAGAUUGUUGGUGAGGUAACGGCUCACCAAGUCUUCGAUGGAUAGGGGUUCUGAGAGGAAGGUCCCCCACAUUGGUACUGAGACACGGACCAAACUCCUACGGGAGGCAGCAGUGAGGAAUAUUGGUCAAUGGGCGAGAGCCUGAACCAGCCAAGUAGCGUGAAGGAUGACGG